UAGGGAAUCUUCCACAAUGGACGAAAGUCUGAUGGAGCAACGCCGCGUGAGUGAAGAAGGUUUUCGGCUCGUAAAGCUCUGUUGUUAAAGAAGAACACGUAUGAGAGUAACUGUUCAUACGUUGACGGUAUUUAACCAGAAAGUCACGGCUAACUACGUGCCAA
rnacentral:rRNA from 1 species